GCCCUCGUAGCUCAGUUGGAUAGAGCAAUCGCCUCCUAAGCGAUAGGUCGCAGGUUCAAAUCCUGCCGUGGGCACCA
rnacentral:tRNA from 1 species